rnacentral:rRNA from 1 species
UACCAGCACCCCGAGUGGUCGGGACGAUUAUUGGGCCUAAAGCAUCCGUAGCCGGUUCUACAAGUCUUCCGUUAAAUCCACCUGCUUAACAGAUGGGCUGCGGAGGAUACUAUAGAGCUAGGAGGCAGGAGAGGCAAGCGGUACUCAGUGGGUAGGGGUAAAAUCCGUUGAUCCAUUGAAGACCACCAGUGGCGAAGGCGGCUUGCCAGAAUGCGCUCGACGGUGAGGGAUGAAAGCUGGGGGAGCAAACGGG